AACGAACGCUGGCGGCAGGCUUAACACAUGCAAGUCGAGCGAAACCUCCGGGUCUUUCGGCGGACGGGUGAGUAACGCGUGGGAACGUGCCCUUGUCUACGGAAUAGCUCCGGGAAACUGGGAGUAAUACCGCAUACGCCCUUUGGGGGAAAGAUUUAUUGGGGCAGGAUCGGCCCGCGUUGGAUUAGGUAGUUGGUGGGGUAAUGGCCCACCAACCCGCGGAUCCAUAGCUGGUUUGAGAGGAUGAUCAGCAACGCUUGGACUGAGACACGGCCCAGACUUGUACGGGAGGGAGCAGUGGGGAAUCUUAGACAAUGGAGGCAACCCUGAUCUAGCCAUGCCGGGUGAGUGAUGAUGGCCGUAGGGUUGUAAUGCUCUUUCAGCUGGGAAGAUAAUGACGGUACCAGCUGAAGAAGCCCCGGCUAACUCCGUG
rnacentral:rRNA from 1 species